AAAAUUUUAGUUUAAUAUAAAAUAUUUCUUUUACAUUGAAAAGAUUAAAUAAAAUUUAAAAUUUUA